UACGUAGGGUGCAAGCGUUGUCUGAAUUAUUGGGCGUAAAGAGCUCGUAGGCGGUUUGUCGCGUCUGCUGUGAAAACCCGAGGCUCAACCUCGGGCCUGCAGUGGGUACGGGCAGACUAGAGUGCGGUAGGGGAGAUUGGAAUUCCUGGUGUAGCGGUGGAAUGCGCAGAUAUCAGGAGGAACACCAAUGGCGAAGGCAGAUCUCUGGGCCGUAACUGACGCUGAGGAGCGAAAGCAUGGGGAGCGAACAGG
rnacentral:rRNA from 1 species